UACGAAGGGGGCUAGCGUUGCUCGGAAUCACUGGGCGUAAAGCGCACGUAGGCGGCUUUUUAAGUCAGGGGUGAAAUCCUGGAGCUCAACUCCAGAACUGCCUUUGAUACUGGGAAGCUUGAGUCCGGAAGAGGUGAGUGGAACUCCGAGUGUAGAGGUGAAAUUCGUAGAUAUUCGGAAGAACACCAGUGGCGAAGGCGGCUCACUGGUCCGGUACUGACGCUGAGGUACGAAAGCGUGGGGAGCAAACAGG
rnacentral:rRNA from 1 species